GAUGAACGCUGGCGGCGUGCUUAACACAUGCAAGUCGAACGGUGAACGAGGGAGCUUGCUCCCUCCGGAUCAGUGGCGAACGGGUGAGUAACACGUGAGCAAUCUGCCCUGGACUCUGGGAUAAGCGUCGGAAACGACGUCUAAUACCGGAUACGAGGCGUGGGGGCAUCCCCAACGCCUGGAAAGAACUUCGGUCCAGGAUGAGCUCGCGGCCUAUCAGGUAGUUGGUGAGGUAACGGCUCACCAAGCCUACGACGGGUAGCCGGCCUGAGAGGGUGACCGGCCACACUGGGACUGAGACACGGCCCAGACUCCUACGGGAGGCAGCAGUGGGGAAUAUUGCACAAUGGGCGCAAGCCUGAUGCAGCAACGCCGCGUGAGGGACGACGGCCUUCGGGUUGUAAACCUCUUUUAGCAGGGAAGAAGCGAAAGUGACGGUACCUGCAGAAAAAGCACCGGCUAACUACGUGCCAGCCGCCGCGGUAAAAC
rnacentral:rRNA from 1 species